CAGCAGUGGGGAAUAUUGCACAAUGGGGGAAACCCUGAUGCAGCGACGCCGCGUGGAGGAAGAAGGUCUUCGGAUUGUAAACUCCUGUUGUUGAGGAAGAUAAUGACGGUACUCAACAAGGAAGUGACGGCUAACUACGUGCCAGCAGCCGCGGUAAAACGUAGGUCACAAGCGUUGUCCGGAAUUACUGGGUGUAAAGGGAGCGCAGGCGGGAAGACAAGUUGGAAGUGAAAUCCAUGGGCUCAACCCAUGAACUGCUUUCAAAACUGUUUUUCUUGAGUAGUGCAGAGGUAGGCGGAAUUCCCGGUGUAGCGGUGGAAUGCGUAGAUAUCGGGAGGAACACCAGUGGCGAAGGCGGCCUACUGGGCACCAACUGACGCUGAGGCUCGAAAGUGUGGGUAGCAAACAGGAUUAGAUACCCUGGUAGUCCACACCGUAAACGAUGAUUACUAGGUGUUGGAGGAUUGACCCCUUCAGUGCCGCAGUUAACACAAUAAGUAAUCCACCUGGGGAGUACGACCGCAAGGUUGAAACUCAAAGGAAUUGACGGGGGCCCGCACAAGCAGUGGAGUAUGUGGUUUAAUUCGACGCAACGCGAAGAACCUUACCAAGUCUUGACAUCCCUUGACGAUGCUGGAAACAGUAUUUCUCUUCGGAGCAAGGAGACAGGUGGUGCAUGGUUGUCGUCAGCUCGUGUCGUGAGAUGUUGGGUUAAGUCCCGCAACGAGCGCAACCCUUAUGGUCAGUUACUACGCAAGAGGACUCUGGCCAGACUGCCGUUGACAAAACGGAGGAAGGUGGGGAUGACGUCAAAUCAUCAUGCCCUUUAUGACUUGGGCUACACACGUACUACAAUGGCGUUAAACAAAGAGAAGCAAGACCGCGAGGUGGAGCAAAACUCAGAAACAACGUCCCAGUUCGGACUGCAGGCUGCAACUCGCCUGCACGAAGUCGGAAUUGCUAGUAAUCGUGGAUCAGCAUGCCACGGUGAAUACGUUCCCGGGCCUUGUACACACCGCCCGUCACACCAUGAGAGCCGGGGGGACCCGAAGUCGGUAGUCUAACCGCAAGGAGGACGCCGCCGAAGGUAAAACUGGUGAUUGGGGUGAAGUCGUAACAAGGUAGCCGUAGGAGAACCUGCGGCUG
rnacentral:rRNA from 2 species